GACGAACGCUGGCGGCGUGCUUAACACAUGCAAGUCGAACGGAAAGGCCCUGCGUUUGUGGGGUGCUCGAGUGGCGAACGGGUGAGUAACACGCGAGUAACCUGCCCUUGACUUUGGGAUAACUUCAGGAAACAGGGGCUAAUACCGGAGAGGAGCUCCUGCUGCAUGGGGGGGGUUGGAGAGUGUCGGCGUUUGGGGAUGGACUCGCGGCGUAUCAGCUAGUUGGGGUGGUAGUGGCUGACCAAGGCUUUGACGGGUAGCCGACCUGAGAGGGUGACUGGCCACACUGGAAGGGAGACGCGGCCCAGGCGCCUAGGGGAGGGAGCAGUAGCGAAUCGGGCGCAAUGGGCGGGAGACUUACGGAGCAACGCCGCGUGAGUGAUGAAGGUCUCCGGGUCGUGAAACUCGGUUAUUGGGGAAGAACAUAUUUGUAAGUAACUGGGCACAUCUGGACGGUAACUAGUCAGAAAGCCACGGCUAACUACGUG
rnacentral:rRNA from 1 species